rnacentral:rRNA from 1 species
CGAACGGGUGAGUAUCGCGUGGGUAAUCUACCUAGAGGUGGGGGAUAGCCUCGGGAAACCCGAGGGUAAUACCGCAUAAGUCCUCAACGGCAUAAGUCGAUGAGGGGAAAGGCGGGGCUCCUUCGGGACCUGUCGCCUCUGAAUGAGCCCGCGUCCGAUUAGCUAGUUGGUGGGGUAAUGGCCUACCAAGGCAACGAUCGGUAGCCGGCCUGAGAGGGUGAACGGCCACAUUGGGACUGAGACACGGCCCAG